AAGGAUCAUUAUCGAAUAAACUUGAGCAGGCUGUUGCUGGCCCCCCUCCCGGGUACGUGCACGCUUGUUCUUUGUUAUUUCUCCAACUUGUGCACAUUUUGUAGACCCUGGAGCUUUGUGGAUUUAACAUUCCGAGUCGGGACUGCUGUUCUUCUCCUGAAGUCAGCUUUGCCUUGCAUCUCCAGGUCUAUGUCAAUUUUUAUGUCUUCACAACCAUGUUUAGAAUGUUGGGAUCAGGUCUUUUUGUACCUAUAGAAAUGAAAAAUAUACAACUUUCAGCAACGGAUCUCUUGGCUCUC
rnacentral:misc_RNA from 1 species